CUCGUAGGCGGCCAACUAAGUCAGACGUGAAAUCCCUCAGCUUAACUGGGGAACUGCGUCUGAUACUGGAUGGCUUGGAUUCGGGAGAGGAAUGCGGAAUUCCAGGUGUAGCGGUGAAAUGCGUAGAUAUCUGGAGGAACACCGGUGGCGAAGGCGGCAUUCUGGACCGAUAUUGACGCUGAGGAGCGAAAGCCAGGGGAGCAAACGG
rnacentral:rRNA from 1 species